UACGUAGGGUGCAAGCGUUGUCCGGAAUUAUUGGGCGUAAAGAGCUCGUAGGCGGUCUGUCGCGUCGGCUGUGAAAUCCCGAGGCUCAACCUCGGGUCUGCAGUCGAUACGGGCAAACUUGAGUGUUGCAGGGGAGACUGGAAUUCCUGGUGUAGCGGUGAAAUGCGUAGAUAUCGGGAGGAACACCAGUGGCGAAGGCGGCUUUCUGGUCUGCUCUUGACGCUGAGGCGCGAAAGCUAGGGUAGCAAACGGG
rnacentral:rRNA from 1 species